UGGGGAAUCUUCCGCAAUGGACGAAAGUCUGACGGAGCAACGCCGCGUGAGUGAAGAAGGUUUUCGGAUCGUAAAACUCUGUCUUUUGGGGCGAACGUGAGUAUGGUGAACAAUCAUAGUCAGUGACGGUACCAAAGGAGGAAGCCACGGCUAACUACGUGCCAGCAGCCGCGGUAAUACGUAGGUGGCAAGCGUUGUCCGGAAUUAUUGGGCGUAAAGAGCGCGUAGGCGGGAUAGUCAGUCUGUUGUAAAGUGCGGGGCUCAACCCCGUGAUCGCAAUGGAAACAGCUAUUCUUGAGUGCAGGAGAGGAAAGUGGAAUUCCCAGUGUAGCGGUGAAAUGCGUAGAUAUUGGGAGGAACACCAGUGGCGAAGGCGACUUUCUGGACUGUGUCUGACGCUGAGGCGCGAAAGCCAGGGGAGCGAACGGGAUUAGAUACCCCGGUAGUCCUGGCCGUAAACGAUGGGUACUAGGUGUGGGAGGUAUCGACCCCUUCCGUGCCGGAGUUAACGCAAUAAGUACCCCGCCUGGGGAGUACGGUCGCAAGACUGAAACUUAAAUGAAUUGAC
rnacentral:rRNA from 1 species